GUGCUCACUUUGGCGACAUAUAUACUAAAAUUGGGAUGAUACAGAGGUUAGCAUGACCCCUGCGCAAGGAUGACACACAAAUUCGUGAAACGUUCCAAAAUUUG